GAUGAACGCUGGCGGCGUGCCUAAUACAUGCAAGUCGAGCGAACGGACGAGAAGCUUGCUUCUCUGAUGUUAGCGGCGGACGGGUGAGUAACACGUGGAUAACCUACCUAUAAGACUGGGAUAACUUCGGGAAACCGGAGCUAAUACCGGAUAAUAUUUUGAACCGCAUGGUUCAAAAGUGAAAGACGGUCUUGCUGUCACUUAUAGAUGGAUCCGCGCUGCAUUAGCUAGUUGGUAAGGUAACGGCUUACCAAGGCAACGAUGCAUAGCCGACCUGAGAGGGGGAUCGGCCACACUGGAACUGAGACACGGUCCAGACUCCUAAGGGAGGCAGCAGUAGGGAAUCUUCCGCAAUGGGCGAAAGCCUGACGGAGCAACGCCGCGUGAGUGAUGAAGGUCUUCGGAUCGUAAAACUCUGUUAUUAGGGAAGAACAUAUGUGUAAGUAACUGUGCACAUCUUGACGGUACCUAAUCAGAAAGCCACGGCUAACUACGUG
rnacentral:rRNA from 1 species